GGGCAAUUGAUCAGUAUCGUGUCUGCCAAGAGGUGCUUGAACGCUCCCGGGAUGUUGUUGAUGAAGUGAGUGUUUCUCUCAGACUCUGGGAUACUUUUGGUGACCAUCACAAAGACAGACGUUUUGCUUAUGGAAGCAUCCUCUCCACCUUGGCUGGUGAGGUGAGCAAGACCUGGUGACUGGCUGAGUUGCUUCUGGGGCCCUCUGCCAGCUGUAAACAGAGCAGUAGCAGCACCUGAGAAGAGUAGGUGACCCAGCUGGAAGUUCACAUCUUUCACCUCCUCUGAAGGAAGCUCUGUCCCACAUCCUUCCUCUGGCUCCUUAUCCCCCCAAAGGAAGUUGGAAGAGGGAAAGCCUGCCAUCAGCUCCCUUUCAGGGGGAAGAAAGACAGAUGCACAAAUCGAUACUUUGCUUAAAACUCUACUGUAUGUUUUAAAAUGUCUUAAAACUUCUCAGAAUGCAGGAUGUUGCAUCAGGGUUUCUCAGAUGCUCCUAGCUAAGGCCUCUUCCUGCACCUCAGACCAGCUAUAUUUAUUUCUGUGUCAGUACAGAUUCUCCUUCUGAUCAAGUAUAAAUGUGAGAGACAAGGUGUGUGAGGUAAUAUCUUUUAUUGGACCAACUUCUGUUGGUGAGAGAGAGAGAGGUUUUGAGCCACACAAAGCUCUUAAAGCUUGUCUCGCUCACCAACAGAGCUGGUACAAUAAAAGAUAUUACCUCACACACCUUGUCUCUCGCAUAUCCUGGGACCAACACGGCUACAAGUACACUGCAUACAGGUAUAAAUAUGUCUUUUUAGAGGAAUUGGGGACCGUCUCCACAGCAGUAAAUGCUUCACACAGGCAGAUACUCUUUUGCUUGUCUGGCAACGGGCCUGCUACUGGGGACAUAAACUACUUUCAGAUCUAUUUCAUCUCUUGUCCCCAUUCUCUUCCUCUUGCUAUGUCUUGUCACCACAAAUGAUGCUGUUAAAAAGAUGUGAUGACAGCCAACAAAAUUGGUGAACUACCACUUCUACGCUAAUCUAUUUUAAAAACAAAAAACACCCAAAUAUAGAGGGCUGUGUUUUACAGGCCAUUAAAGUUCUUCAUCAGGUAGUCUUGGAGGAGACAUACAGAGAAGUGUUUAACAUUUAAGACAGUCAUGCUUUUUUGUACUAUUUUAAUUGGGCUCAGUUUGGACCCAAGGAAGAUUGCAGAGCAGGCAGAUCAAGUUUAGUGGUGAUGACAUUCAAAUGAGCUUCUGAAACCUAAUUUUAUUUUUCAUGUUGUCUUUGUGUCUAAUAUUGUGUGUGUACAUACAAGCACACACCCAUUAGUCUUUUCUGUCAUCACAUGUAUUAGAAUUGGAAGCUCCCAACCCAUCUCCUGAAAUGUUUGAAUACCUAGACCAUUCAAAUUGGUGAAGUCCAGUUAUUUGUCCUCCCCACAUUACACCUGUGUCUUAUCUUACUGUAAGUAGUGAAUUUUUAUGAAAAUCUGUUAUGGAAUUGCUAUUAGGGAUCAGCAAUUCUUCCUCCUUUUAAAAGACCUGGUACCAAAUGAAUGUCCAUAGGGUAUGAUGUGGCUUAUCUUGAUGUCUGUAUAACAUAGCUAGAAUAGAGAGGCUCUGUUGCAAUAGUGCAGGGCUUCUUUGACUGCAAUGAAAAUGUUUAUACACACACACACACACACACACCCUUCUUUGUUUAUGCUAUUACAUAAUUCUCUUCCAUUCUUGCUCUCUUAUAAAGUGGUUUAUUCUAAAAGCCUUCAUUUAUAGCAGAGGAAAAAAUAUCUUUUGAAUAUGCUAAACCAGAGAAGGGACAUCAAAGAUGACUUUGGCCACCACAAGUAGUUCUGAAUUGAUAAGAUUAGGAUCUGUUGAACCCACUAGACAUCUAAGACUCCAAGAUUCUGGGUCUAGAUUUCCUCAUAGGUGUGUAGGGUAGUAGAAAUAUAUAUGGACACAACUAUCCACCUCAGUCUGAGUGCCCUUGUCCAUUGCUGUUUGACACCAGUGUACCAUUUGAAAUUUCAUGGCUUCAGCUAUCAUAAAUAAUUCAUAAAGUUGUCUGGGCUAUUGCCAACAAUAAUCAGAUUUUUCAUGAAUGAAGAAAGUUAAAGUUCUGUGAUACAGUCACACGAGGGUUUCUUAGCACUAAAUUCAUCAAAUUUUGCUUUGCUUUGCUUUCAAGUCUUCCCCAAUUUCAUUUAUACUGGCUUCCUAUACCUGUGUAAAAAUCAUACUCUUACAUUUAGUGAUUGUGCCUAAGCCAGUCAUUAUUCCCUUUAAUCUCUAACAUCCUGGACCCUUUGUCUUCUCACAAUCUUCCUAGCUUCCUGUGACUAGCUGUGUAAUUUGUUACUCUGUUACCAUUUACAAAAAUCAUGCUUGACUCUGUUGUACUCCCAGAUGUUUGGAACUCCCAUUUCUCUUUGCUUCCCUGACUUUCCUCAUCAUUUCAGACCCUAUCUGAAAAUGUUCUUUUCCCUUUCUUAAUACUGUUGCUUCAAAUGAUUUGACAUUUAAUUUCUUCAUCUCUUGAAAAAUGAAUAUUUUGUUUACUGUCAA